rnacentral:rRNA from 1 species
UACGAGAGGCCCAAACGUUAUUCGGAUUUACUGGGCUUAAAGAGUUCGUAGGCGGUUCGUCAAGUGAGGUGUGAAAGCCCUCGGCUCAACCGAGGAAUUGCGCUUCAAACUGUCGGGCUCGAGGGAGAUAGAGGUGAGCGGAACUGAUGGUGGAGCGGUGAAAUGCGUUGAUAUCAUCAGGAACACCAGAGGCGAAGGCGGCUCACUGGGUCUCUUCUGACGCUGAGGAACGAAAGCUAGGGGAGCAAACAGG